rnacentral:rRNA from 1 species
UACGAAGGGUGCAAGCGUUACUCGGAAUUACUGGGCGUAAAGGGCGCGUAGGUGGUUUGUUAAGUCUGCUGUGAAAUCCCCGGGCUCAACCUGGGAAUGGCAGUGGAUACUGGCAAGCUAGAGUGCGGUAGAGGGUAGUGGAAUUCCCGGUGUAGCAGUGAAAUGCGUAGAGAUCGGGAGGAACACCAGUGGCGAAGGCGGCUACCUGGACCAGCACUGACACUGAAGCACGAAAGCGUGGGGAGCAAACAGG